CUGGGACUCUGUGUUUCUCUCUCUCUCUCUCUCUCUUUGUGCGUGUGUGUGACCACAAUUGUAGUUUCAGUAAAUAAAACGGCUGCUUGAUAACGUGGAACGGCCCAGCGCUUAACUCUGCCCUUGGAGAUCCUUUACAUCAAACCAGCGAUCAAAAAGUGGUGCAGAUAAAAUUUGUCAUCAGGGAUUUCCUACAAAAGAAUUACAGUGGAGAAAUGGCCUGAUCGAUACUAUGGAUUUUCACUGCAGGGGCUGGUGGUCCAAUUGCUGUGAGACACUCACACAGAUAAAAGGGCAUGGCCACCACUCUGUCACAGACUGCUGACUCAGCAAAAGCUUGGCAGAUGUGCCGGGGGGGCGAAACUUUGAAGGCGGAGGAGCGCGGACGUAGCUUCUCUCCCACAGAGUGUGGUUAUUCCCGGAGGAGAAGUCCCAUCAGCCGGUCGCCGGAGCUCUGGAGUUCCUUAGCCAUUACUUACAUAAGAUGAAAAUGGAAGCGCCCAUCUUUCUCGCUUAAGGAGGUUGCUGCUGGACUGAAUGAGAUCAAGAAUGUGGGACUGUUUACUGAGCCGUCGGUGCUGCUUAAAUAACAAGGGGCUACCACACAGAGAAAACUCAUCAAAACAUGAAGCCAAACACAAUGGAAAUGAGAGCUUAGAGACCUAUAGCGAUGCAACCUGUGGGACGGCCUUUGGCUCCUGGAUCCAGCUAUUUCUGAAGCUACAUUUACUCUUCUAUGCCCAGGACGAUCCAAAUGGAAGAAGUUUUAACAUCAACAAAACCACAUGAUGCUGAAUACUUCAUCCACAUUGGCCUCAGUUUCCUCACCUGUAAAAUGGGUGCU